rnacentral:rRNA from 1 species
AGUGAACGCUGGCGGUAUGCCUAACACAUGCAAGUCGAACGGCAGCACAGUAAGAGCUUGCUCUUACUGGUGGCGAGUGGCGGACGGGUGAGGAAUACAUCGGAAUCUACUUUUUCGUGGGGGAUAACGUAGGGAAACUUACGCUAAUACCGCAUACUACCUACGGGUGAAAGCAGGGGAUCUUCGGACCUUGCGCGACUGAAUUAGCCGAUGUCGGAUUAGCUAGUUGGCGGGGUAAAGGCCCACCAAGGCGACGAUCCGUAGUUGAUCUGAGAGGAUGAUCAGCCACACUGGAACUGAGACACGGUCCAGACUCCUACGGGAGGCAGCAGUGGGGAAUAUUGGACAAUGGGCGAAAGCCUGAUCCAGCAAUACCGCGUGAGUGAAGAAGGCCUUCGGGUUGUAAAGCCCUGUUGUUGGGAAAGAAAAGCAGCAGGUUAAUCCCCCGAUGUUCUGACGGUACCCAAAGAAUAAGCACCGGCUAACUUCGUG